CGUUGCGUUGCGCGUGAGGUUACGCACAGUGACGCUCCUGAAUCCCUACAGGCGCGCAGAGGAGCGUCCCGGAAUUAACGGAGGAGAGAGAGAGAGGAAAAUAACGGAUCCGCUAAAUUUAACCGAUUCACGGUAAACGGUGCACCUUCCCGCCGGGGUGCAACCUCUUAGAGCGGCGGACGGAGGUCGGAGGAAGGGAUCGUUCUCACGCGGAGCCUUCAAGUCUUCCCAGAUGUGGGGUGUCUCCAUCCAUGGCCUCCUUCAGGUGACCUCCGGUGACCUCAGUCACUCCUGACUGCAGCUUUGAACUCCUGAUCCACCAGAAGACGUCUGCAGGAGCUGCUGAAUUAUUUAACAUCAGACGGUGGGCUUGGCUGCCGAGCGAGAAGGAGAGAGAGAGCUAGAGAGAACAGAGGCGGGAGGAAAAAAUGAUGGAGAGAGAAAGGGAUGUAUGGAGGUGUCCGACGCUGCAGGAAGCCGUGAGUCAGCAGGGAGAGAAAGAACCAGUGGGAGGGAAGACAGAGAGGGUUUAUAGAUAACUUUAGGUGAUACGUCUGCGGAGAGUGGCGUCAGAAAGCCUCCAGGUGCGUUUGUGUACGUGCGUGUGCAUGCGCCUAUCGAUUGAACAGAGAAGGUCACAGAGCCGAAAGGAGAUUAGCCAAGUAGACUCAGAGACGCAGAGCUAACGCCUCCCCUGGACAGUAGCUAGACAGAAAACGGAAAGCCAAUAAAAGAGAGAGAGAGAGACAGACAAGGCGAAGGACGAGAGGAGCUGCUACAGUAUGGGGGAGAGCUACAUGUACCAGAAACUCCCCUACACCAGAGGAGAGGAGGAGGGGGAGGAUGAGGACGAAGAGGAGCGAGACGGGAGGAUCAGAGAAAGUGUCGGGGGACAAAUGGUAAAGUCUGAAGUUGUGGGUGGACAUGCAAUUCUUCUUGUCGCUCUGUAAUCAGGGUGUGUGUGUUUGUUGUCAGGAAUGUUUUUUUGUGAUUGUGUGUGUGAUU